UGGGGAAUAUUGGACAAUGGGCGAAAGCCUGAUCCAGCCAUGCCGCGUGAGUGAAGAAGGCCUUCGGGUUGUAAAGCUCUUUCAGCGGGGACGAUGAUGACGGUACCCGCAGAAGAAGCCCCGGCUAACUUCGUGCCAGCAGCCGCGGUAAUACGAAGGGGGCUAGCGUUGUUCGGAAUUACUGGGCGUAAAGCGCGCGUAGGCGGCUUUGUCAGUCAGGGGUGAAAUCCCGGGGCUCAACCCCGGAACUGCCUUUGAUACUGCGAGGCUUGAGUCCGUGAGAGGAUGGUGGAAUACCCAGUGUAGAGGUGAAAUUCGUAGAUAUUGGGUGGAACACCGGUGGCGAAGGCGACCAUCUGGCACGGUACUGACGCUGAGGUGCGAAAGCGUGGGGAGCAAA
rnacentral:rRNA from 1 species